CUUGUUGCAGAGACCAGUCCAGGACGUUCUGUCUGUGACAUCGACUACAGCUCCCCUCCUCCAGCUCUGAAGCUGGCCUGCUGUGACCCCCGGGGGCUCUCUCACCCCUGCCCCUGCUCUGAGCUGGCCUUGGGAUGAGGGACCACGGAUUCUGGGGGGCUCUCUCACCCCUGCCCCUGCUCUGAGCUGGCCUUGGGAUGAGGGACCACAGGUUCCGGGGGCUCUCUCACCCCUGCCGCUGCUCUGAGCUGGCCUUGGGGUGAGGGACGGCAGGUUCCGGGGGCUCUCUCACCCCUGCCCCUGCUCUGAGCUGGCCUUGGGAUGAGGGACUGCAGGUUCCGGGGGCUCUCUCACCCCUGCCCCUGCUCUGAGCUGGCCUUGGGGUGAGGGACCACAGAUUCUGGGGGGCUCUCUCACCCCUGCCGCUGCUCUGAGCUGGCCUUGGGGUGAGGGACGGCAGGUUCCGGGGGGCUCUCUCACCCCUGCCACUGCUCUGAGCUGGCCUUGGGGUGAGGGACCGCAGGUUCCGGGGGGCUCUCUCACCCCUUUCCCUGCUCUGAGCUGGCCUUGGGAUGAGGGACUGCAGGUUCCCGGCUGGCGUUCCCUCCCUCCCCACCCUGCACCCAGGGAGCGUGCUUUCCACGCGGCACCACUGUUCUCUCUGCCUUACUUUAAGUGGGGGGCCUACUGCAGACCAGGUGAGCCCAGGUCUGGUCCUAGCUGGACCCCAGGGCGUCGCGGUGUUCCUGAGUCCUGCCCUUCUCUGCCCUGCCUGUGGGCCAGCGCAGUCCCUUCUCCACCCUGCCUGAGGCCAGCGGGGUCUGAGAGCAGUGGCUGUAAAGAAAAGAGCUGCCCCACUCCUGCAUGCAGGUGUGCAGGGCGGAGGGCGGCCGCGAGCUGGGACCGUGCUGCCCUGUCCUGCCGCGCAGAGGGCCCGCCACGCGAAAGCUCCCUCUCGGGGAGACCCCUGCGCAGCCAGGUGCUUGUCCCCAGCUCCGGAAGCGUUUUUCUUAGAAAAGAGUAAUCUUUCAUGUCUUGCACAGUGAGUCACCUUUAAAAAUCUUGUUUGUUGCAGAAGUAAGUGUGUGCCUGCAAAAAAUCAAGAUAGUGCAGAAGUGUCUUUCCAAAGAGCCACCCUCCCCUGAUCUGUCCACGGAGGGAGCGGGUGGAGUGCGUGGGUGUGUGGGACGGGCACAGCCCGUGUGCGCCGCGUGUCCGUGCGUCUCCCCUCCAGAAGCCGCCGUUGGGUGGGAACAGGCCCGUCUUCCCAGCGCUGCCCCACUCCCCAGCCAGGCCCCGCUGGCCGGCAGGACGUUCUCGAGGCUGUGGGUGCCGGUGCUCUGCUGCGUAGCUCCCAGUAAAGCACGUGGUGCACACUCUAGAAUCUCCAUCCACUUGGCAACUCAUCAAAACCGUGCCUCACGGGGCUCUGAUUUAUAAAAUGGGAAUGAAAUUGUUCCGAGAACGUUCCUACAAGGGAGAAACACAGCGAGAUAAUGCAAUCCACUUACUGUCUCAUCGUAACGACAGCUAGCUUGAUCGAGCAUUACUCGAAGCCAGACACUGUGUGGAUAAACAAACACCACGUUGUUCUAUGCUAAAGCUCCCAACUUAUUUUUUAAUGUCUGUGCGCCAUCAUCGUUAUUAAAAUGACAUUAGCUAUUCCUAAGCAUUUGCUCCUCCAGGUAAAUUUUAAAAUCAGCUUUCCACCUACCUCCCAUCAAUAUAGCAAGCUGCAAAAAAAAAAGUUAAGUUGGAUUUUGGAAGGUUGUUGUUUCUUUUUAAGGAAUCCGCUUUGAAGGUUGCCAGAGCAGGAGGCCCUCACCUGAGUCGGGGAACUGGGCGCUCUGUCGGUGUCCUCCCGAGGCCGCCUGACCGGCAGCUUGGCCCCCUGUGACACGCGGGCUGAGCCCGGGGGAGGGGCACCGGGCCAGCGCUGGCGCUCGGUGUCUGACAGGUGUGCCGGCUGCUGAGGCAGGUGUGUGUGGCUCCCCUUCUGGUCCCUGUCCUCAGCACCGGUUCCAGGGCGCCUCUGAGAGGACCCUCGGUGAGAAGUUUUUGGGUGCAAGCAGGCAGCGCGGGGCUGAGGGCCCCUAGGUGCUGUGCAAGGUGGGCUGCAGUGUGUGGCCGGUGAAGGGGAGGCGGGGAAACACGGACUGUCCCCUUCCCCGGCUCCAGCCAGCAGCCGCCGGUGACUGCCUGCUGCAGGACCGCUGACCUCUGGGGCUCCCUGCCUGAGGGGGCUGCCCCGGCCCGGAAGGCAGCUGUUGAGGGUCGGAGGCCGGCUGACUGCGUGUGUGGCGCCCGCUCGGGGUGUGGGCACCAGGGAACACGUCUGCCCUGGGUUUCAGCAAGACCAGACGCACGGCCUGAAGGAGUCUGUGUGGCCAGGCUGUCUCGUGAGCCUUUUUUUUUUUUUUUUAACAAAAAUGAACGCUUAGCAGCAGCUUUGAAAAGGACUGGGAGAACUCAGCGGAGUAGGGGCGGGGGUGCGGGUGAGGAUGGCGCUCCGCGCUCAGAACACUCUGGACAGCAAGUCCAGCAGACGCGCUCGCGUGGGGGAGGACGACACGUCCGAGGGAGCCCUGCGGCUUGUUCUCUGCGCUCUUUCCGAGGCCUGGAUCGCGCGUAGGGGAAGGUCUGCGUGUGCAGCAUGCGUGUGCAAGGCAGGCGGGACAGGAAAGAGAGGUCCUCAGUCUGAGAGCAGAGCGUGAAGCAGCUUCCUGCCCCCAGCCGGGCUCUGCCCAGCUCAUCUGAUUCCUAGUCAUCCUAAAACACGCACUUUAAAGUUUAUGUGCGUUUGUGUAUAAACUGGCACGUAGACAACCAUCCGUUAUAUACAAGUUUUUUUUUUAAGAUUUAUUUAUUCAUUUGAAAGGCAGAGUUUACAGAGAGAAGGCAGAGAGCUUCCGUCUUCCAGUUCACUCCCCAGAGAGCCGCAACAGCUGGAGCUGGGCUGGUCCAAGCCAGGGGCUUCUUCCUGGUGUCCUGUGUGGGCGCAGGGACUCAAGCACCUCGUCCGUCGUCUGCCACUUUCCCGUGCACAUCAGCAGGGAGCAGGAUCAGAAGUGGAGCAGCUGAGACUCGAACCUGUGUCCUCGCGGGAUGCGGGCGGCAGCCUUGCCCACGAAGCCACAGCUCCGGCCCCUGUUUAUUUCACCUUCACUCUUACGGAUAGCCGCGCUGGAUGCGGAGUUCCGGGCUGAAGGGCUUCACCCAGACUCUGCUCUGCGGCCCUUGGGCAUCCCUGGUUUCCGGUGGAGAGCCACCGGUCCCUGGGCCCGUGCUACUUUUGGGGGAUGUGUCAUUUCGCUUUUGCCGCUCUCGAGAUUUUCCUCUCUUUGUAGUUCCCUCUGUUUUUGGUUUGCUCUGUGUCUGUCCGCUUGGAGUUCAUUGAGCUUCUUAAAUCUAACUUGAUUGAGCUUCAUGAGUCUCAGAUGUGAGCAUUUUCAGCCAUUAUUCCUUCAAAUCUUUUUCUGUCCCAUUCUGUCUCUUCUUCUUCUGGGGUAGCAGUUAGACCUGUGGUAGACUAGAUGUAGAAAGAGGAGGAGGCAGAUCCUCCACCUACCGAUUCACUCCCCAAAUGGCUGCAAUGGCCGGGGCUGGGCCAGGCUGAAGCCAGGGGCCCCACACUUCAUUCACGUUUCCCACGCGGGGGGCAGGGGUCCAAGUGCUUGGGCCAUCUUCUGCUCCUUUCCCAAGUGGAUUGGAACUGGAGCAGCCAGGGCUGAACCCACGCUGCAGUAUGGGAGGCCGGCAUUGCAAGUGGCAGCGUGCCCGGCCGCGCCACAGACUGGCCACUAGGCAGGCCUGUCGGUGUUGUCCCGCAGGCUUGAGGUGCUGGGUUGUCCUCCCGCCCGGUCUUCAGGUCAGGUCGCUCCUGUUUUCACCUCGGUGCUGUUCAGCUCAUCCAGUGAGUUUUCUGUUUUAAUCUCGUGUAUUUUAAAACCCUAGUUGACUCCCUUGCAGUUUGUGUCCCUGCCAGGGCUCCCUGUGCAUUGAUCCAUUCCUUCCAUUCCUGCCUCAUCCUUAUGCCCUGAGCGUAACUGCAGAAGCUGCCCAAAUCCCUGACUUGCUGACUGCAGCAUCUGGGUUGUCUUGAGCCGCUGGAGACGGCUUUCUUCUUAAAGAUGGUGGCAUCUUCCUGCGGCUCCACCUGUUGAAUGAUCUGGGUUUGAACUUGGAUCAGCGUGAGUAUUUAACGUGGAAACUCUGGACUCUGCUUUACUUUCCUGAAGUUUUUGGGGCAGGCAGCUGUUAUUUUUGUUGUUCCAUUUUUGCCCUGGUCAGCAAUUAGCUUGAUUGAACGAAAACCGCAAGGUCUGUCUGUGGGGCAGCCACCGCGUCCUGGCUUGGUCACUCAGUCCUUAGUGGGGCUGCUUAGUGUCCGUCCCAGGCCUGCAGGGUCAGAGGUCAGCCAGGGAUUCGGGCAGUUUUUGUACAGAAUUGGGGUUCUCCCCCCUCCCGGCAUAGGGCCGUGAUCGUCCCGUCUGUUCCCCACUGACGCACUUGACAGCGGCCUCCCCCAGGCUGAAGCACAGACUGGGAAACACCUAGCUCCUCUCCACGCGCCACCCUCCUCCACCGCUGGCCUGCUCGCCGUCCUUCCACGUUGCCCUGGAGCGGUCACUGUUUACUUUGUCCAGAGGUUAUAGUGAUUUUCUCCAGAGAGCCAGUCCAGUGUGACAGACCCAGUCAGUGGAGCAAAAACAUCAGGACAGAGGUGAGCGUAGCAGCGCGGUGGGUGCAGCCGCCUCCCGGGACCCUGGCAUCCCACGUCAGCCCUGGUUCCCACCCAGCUCUCUGCUGUGGCCUGGGAAGGCAGUGGGGGAUGAACAAAGUGCUCGGGCGCCGCACCCGCAGGGGAGACCGAUGGAAUUCCUGGCUGCCGGUUUCAGCCUGGUCCUGCCCCAGCUGUUUUGGCCAUUUGGAAGCGAGUCAGGAUGGACGCGCUCCCUCCCUCCCUCCC